GCCGUCAAUUCCUUUGAGUUUUAACCUUGCGGCCGUACUCCCCAGGCGGUCGACUUAUCGCGUUAGCUGCGCCACUAAGAUCUCAAGGAUCCCAACGGCUAGUCGACAUCGUUUACGGCGUGGACUACCAGGGUAUCUAAUCCUGUUUGCUCCCCACGCUUUCGCACCUCAGUGUCAGUAUCAGUCCAGGUGGUCGCCUUCGCCACUGGUGUUCCUUCCUAUAUCUACGCAUUUCACCGCUACACAGGAAAUUCCACCACCCUCUACCGUACUCUAGCUCAGUAGUUUUGGAUGCAGUUCCCAGGUUGAGCCCGGGGAUUUCACAUCCAACUUGCUGAACCACCUACGCGCGCUUUACGCCCAGUAAUUCCGAUUAACGCUUGCACCCUUCGUAUUACCGCGGCUGCUGGCACGAAGUUAGCCGGUGCUUAUUCUGUUGGUAACGUCAAAACAGCAAGGUAUUAACUUACUGCCCUUCCUCCCAACUUAAAGUGCUUUACAAUCCGAAGACCUUCUUCACACACGCGGCAUGGCUGGAUCAGGCUUUCGCCCAUUGUCCAAUAUUCCCCACUGCUGCCUCCCGUAGGAGUCUGGACCGUGUCUCAGUUCCAGUGUGACUGAUCAUCCUCUCAGACCAGUUACGGAUCGUCGCCUUGGUAGGCCUUUACCCCACCAACUAGCUAAUCCGACCUAGGCUCAUCUGAUAGCGUGAGGUCCGAAGAUCCCCCACUUUCUCCCUCAGGACGUAUGCGGUAUUAGCGCCCGUUUCCGGACGUUAUCCCCCACUACCAGGCAGAUUCCUAGGCAUUACUCACCCGUCCGCCGCUGAAUCCAGGAGCAAGCUCCCUUCAUCCGCUCGACUUGCAUGUGUUAGGCCUGCCGCCAGCGUUCAAUCUGAGCCAGGAUCAAACCCUC
rnacentral:rRNA from 1 species